CAGUAGCCGCGGGAAUACGAAGGGGGCUAGCGUUGUUCGGAAUUACUGGGCGUAAAGCGCACGUAGGCGGAUAUUUAAGUCAGGGGUGAAAUCCCAGAGCUCAACUCUGGAACUGCCUUUGAUACUGGGUAUCUUGAGUAUGGAAGAGGUGAGUGGAAUUCCGAGUGUAGAGGUGAAAUUCGUAGAUAUUCGGAGGAACACCAGUGGCGAAGGCGGCUCACUGGUCCAUUACUGACGCUGAGGUGCGAAAGCGUGGGGAGCAAACAGGAUUAGAUACCUGUAGUCCCUGUCUCUUAUACAC
rnacentral:rRNA from 1 species